rnacentral:pre_miRNA from 1 species
AUCACCUGGGGACCUUGUUAAAAAUGCAGAUUCUGAUCCAGGAGGUCUGGGCUGGGGCCCAAAGUUCUGCAUUUUUAACAGGCACCCAGGUGACGUUAA